CCACCGGGGCUGCCCUGAACACUGUAGUUUUUUGUAGUAAGUUUUGAAAUUAAGAAGUAUGAGAUAUUCAACUUUGUUCUCUCAAAAUCAUUUUGCUGUUUGGUCCCCCUUGUAGUUUCAUAUGAAUUUGCAGAAUGGCUUUUCAUUUUUGCAAAAAGGGUCAUUGGAAUUUUGAUAGGGAUUGUUUAAAAUCUGUAGAUCACUUUGGAUAGCGUUACCAUUUAAAAAUAUAUUUUUUAUUUAUUUGAGGAAGAGAGAGAGAUAGCAUGAAUAGGGAGAGAGGAAGAGGAAGAAGCAGACUACCUGCUAAGCAGGGAGCCCAAUGUAGGGUUCUAUCCCAGGACUCUGGGAUCAGGAGCUGAGUCAAAGACAUAUGCUUAACUGAUUGAGCUACUCAGGCGCCCCUAGCAUUACCAUUUUGACACUAUUAGAUCUUCCAAUCCCUGAACAUAGAUGGGAUGCCUUUUUGUUUGUUAAGUCUUCUUUAAUAUCUUUCAGCAGUAUUUUGUACUUCUUGUGUAUGUCUUUUACAUCCUUGGCUAAAUUUAUUCCUAUAUAUUUUACUCUUUUGUAUGCUAUACUGAAUGGAAUUGUCUCGUAAUUUCCUUUUGGAUUAUUUAUUCAGAUGUAUAGAAACACAGUUUACCUUAAUGUGUUGAUCUUAUCCCCUGAAACUUUGCUGAACUUAAUUUCUUCUAGUUUUGUAGUUGUGGAUUCAUAAUAUAUAAUAUAAUAUAAUAUAAUAUAAUAUAAUAUAAUUAUAAUAUAACAUAUAAAUAAUAUACAUGUGUAUAGGAUCAUGUCAUUUGAGAAUAUAUUUUUAUUUCUUCCUUUCCAAUUUGGUUACCUUUUAUUUAUUUUUCUUGCCUUAUUGCUCUAGAUAGAACUUCCAGUACAAUGUUUAAAAAGCAGUGAUAAAAGUGACGUCCUUGUCUGGUUCCUACUUAAUUAUACAGUUGUUCACAGUAUUAUCUUAUUAUAAUGCUUUCUUACUUCUGGAAAGUCCCACUUUCAUUUCUGAUUUUAGUUAUUUGCAUCUUUUUUUUUUCCUAAGUAAAUUUAGCUAAAGUUUUUGCCAAUUUCGUCAGUGUUUUCAAAGUACCAACUCUUGGUUGCAUUGAUUCUCUCUGUUGUUCUUUGUUCCCUGUUUCAUUUAUCUCUGCUGUAACCUUUAUUUCUUUCUUCCUACUGUCUUUUAGCUUGGUUGGCUCUUUUUUUUUUCUAGUUCCUUAGGGUAUAAAGUUAAGUUAUUGAUUUGAGGUCUUCUUUUUAAAAAUGUUCAUAGUUAAAUUUCCCUCUUAGCACUGUUUUCACUGCAUCCCAUGUGUUUUGAUAUUUUUUUUAUUUUCAUUCAUCUCAAAGUAUUUUAUCAUUUUCUUGUGAGUUCUUCUUUGACCCAUUAGUUACUUAAGAGUAUGUUUUGUGAAUUUUCCAGUUUUCUGUUACUAAUUUUUAGCUUUUUAUAUUGGAGAAGAUAUUUUGUAUGAUUUCAGUCUUUUAAAAUAUAUUGUUUUGUGGACUAACAUAUGAUCUAUUCUGGAGACUGUUUUAUGUGCACCUGAGAAGAAUGUGUAUUCUGUUUUUGUUUUUAAGAUUUUAUGUAUUUAUUCAUGAGAGACACAGAGAGAGGCAAAGACAUAGGCAGAGAGAGAAGCAGGCUCCAUGUGAGGAGGCUGAUGCAGGACUCGAUCCCAGGACCCCGGGAUCAUGACCUGAGCCAAAGGCAGGCACCCAACCCAACUGAGCCAUCCAGGUGCCCCUGUAUUCUGUUUUUGGUUGAAGUAUUUUAUAUAUGUCUGUUAGGUCUACUUAGUUCAAUGUUGUUCAAAUCCUCUAUUUCCUUAUUGAACUUCUGUCUAGACGCUCUAUUCUUUAUUGAAGUGAAGUAUUGGAAUCUCCAACAUUAUUGUAGAACUAUCUAUCUCUCCUUUCAGUUCAGUUCAUCUCCAUCCUUAUGUUGUUUUAUCACAAAUUCCUUUUUUUACGUUGUGUGCUGAUUAACAUAGAUUUAUAAUUAUUUUGUGCAUUUGCCCUUUAAAUCAUAUGGGAAACUAAUGGGGAGUUACAAAUCAAAUAUACAAUAAUACUGGCUUUAUAUUUACGAACAUGGUUACUUUUACUGGAUUUCUUUCUUUAUAUGGUUUUGAGUUAUUGUCUAGUGUCUUUUCAUUUCAGCCUAAAGGACUCCCUUUAGCAUUUCAUGUAGGACAGGUCUACUAGUGAUGAACUCCCUCAGCUUUUGUUUCUCUAGAACUAAGGUCUUAAUUUCCACUUUUUUUUUUAAAGAUUUUAUUUAUUUAUUCAUGAGAGACACAGAGAGAGACAGAGACACAGGCAGAGAGAGAAGCAGGCUCCAUGCAGGGAGCCCGAUGUGGGACUUUGUCCCAGGAUUCCAGGGUCAUGCCCUGAGCCAAAGGCAGGCACUAAACCACUGAGCCACCCAGGAAACCCCCAAAAAUGUUCAGUUUUUUUUUAAAUGUUCAGUUUUAAACAAAAAAAAAUCACAAGGGAUUAAAAGAAUAAAGUACAGUUCAUUCACAGAAAAGAAAGAGAAGCUUACAGAAACUGUCACCAAGGAAGCCCAAACAUUGGACUUAAUAGGCAAAUAUUUUAUUGUUUUUAAAGAUUUUUUAAGUAAUCUCUACACCCAAUGUGGGGCUCAAACUCACAACUCCAAGAUCAAGAGUUGCAUGCCCUAACAACUAAGCCAGCCAGGCAUUCCAUUAGGCAAAUAUUUUAAAUCAAAUGUCUUAAAUACACUCAAAGAGCUAAAGAAAAUAAUAGAUGAAAAAACUAAAGGAAACUAGGAGAAUGAAGAAAUGAAUAAAGAAUAUCUAUAGAUAUACAUUACUUGUAUUUAUAUUAUAUUAAUAUACAUUUAUUAUUAUAUAAGAGCUAAAUAAAAAUUCUAGAGCUAAACAGCACAGUAGCUGAAAUGGAAAACUCAUUACAGGAAUUCAACAGCAGAUUCAAGCUGGCAGAAGAAAAAAUGAGUGAACUUGGAGAUAAGACUACUGAAAUUAUUCUGAAUAGGAGAAAGAAAAAAAAAAGACUCAACUCUCUCUUCAUGUCUCUCAGGAAUAAAUAAAUAAAAUCUUUAAAAAAUAAAAAACUCAAAAAAUAAAACAACAUUUUGAAUAUUACAGUGUGUCAAUCUGGGAAUCAGAUCCCCCUCCCAGGGUUUGCUGUUGUUGAUUAUUGAAGGCUGUUGUCAUCCAUUUGUUUAUUGACUUUUCCAAACUGUUUUUGCAAGACUGCAUUUCUUGUUCUGUGUAAUUACCGAAACUCUGUUCCAUUAUCUCAGCAAUCAGUCAGUGACCUGACAGAGAUUUCCUUAAAUGACUAGGGUAAAAACACCACCACCAUCUCUCCACAUUUUUGUAGCUUGGCUCUGAGCUGGUGUACUACUUCAGUGCUAAACCAAUUUGCCUGAAACUCUGCCUUAGUCUUCACCUCUGGAUUGCAUGGAGUCUGAAGAUCAGCCAAAGCUGCAAGCCUAGGGUCCUCUCAGGUCUUCUCUGAACAUACAGCUAUCCCUGGGCAUGUACUCUAUAUGCUGUAUUUCCCCAAUCACACAGUAACUCUUCAGAGUCCUUAUUUCCCCAUGUAAGCUUCCUUCUCAGUCUCCUACUUGUCAGGCUUUUAGAUCCAUCUGCUGCUUGUUCCAUUCUCUGUCUCUUGCCCUAGGCAGCCACCAGUAAUCUAAGUUUUUAAAUACUUUCAACAGAUGCUGCUUGGAAAGCUGCUCUAGGCUGAGGGGGCAAAACAAAGGUCAGAUUCAGCAUGGGUCCCUCAGGGAACCACCAGACAGGGCAGAGUGACAGCCAGUCUUUUGAGAAUAAGGGUGCAUCUAUCCUCCCCUGGUACUAGCAAGCCACACCAGGAAUGUGGACUGAUGUCCCACAGCCACCACCUAACCGAGGAAUGGGGGAUGGUAGACAGGUAAACAAAAAUGCUACAACGUUUUGUUACUGAAAUUUAACAGCUGCUUUUUUUCAUUAAGCACAGCACUGGUUGGACUCCACUCUAAAUUUUUUUAGAUUCCAGAAUUCUAAAAAAGUUGCUUCUGUCAGUUUUUGCCAGCAUAAUGCUAGCUUCAGUGGAGGACUGGUUCUUGUAACUCUCUACUCUGCCAUUUCUAUGAUAUCACAAUAUUGUUUAACUUUUUGAGGACCCAUCAAACUGUUUUCCAUAGCAACUGCACCAUUUUACCCUCCCACCAGAAAUGUGAGUUCCAUUUUCUCCACAUCUUUUCCAACAUUUGUUAUUUUUGGUUUUUCUUUUUUGAUGAUCACCAUCCUAGUGGAUGUAAAAUGGUAUGUCCUUACAGUUUUGAUUUACACUUCCUUAAUAACUAAUGAUGUCAAGCAUUUUUUUCAUGUGAUUAUUGCCCAUUUGUAUAUCUUCUUUGGAAAAGCAUCCAAAAUUUAUGCCCACUAUUUUUCAUGCCCACUAUUUAAUUGGAUAACUUAUCUAAGAUCCAUUUUUUUAUACAUGUCAUUUUCUACUUUUUUUUUCUUACACGGUUAUCCUAAAAGUCAUGCAUUAAGAAAAUAAAUACAGGGCAGCCCCGGUGGCUCAGCGGUUUAACGCCCCCUGCAGCCCAGGGCGUGAUCCUGGAGACCCGGGAUUGAGUCCUCCGACCGGCUCCCUGCAUGGAGCCUGCUUCUCCCUCUGCCUGUCUCU
rnacentral:lncRNA from 1 species